AAGGAAUAUUGGUCAAUGGGGGCAACCCUGAACCAGCCAUGCCGCGUGCAGGACGACUGCCCUAUGGGUUGUAAACUGCUUUUGUUAGGGAAUAAACCCCGCUACGUGUAGCGGGCUGAAUGUACCUAAAGAAUAAGGAUCGGCUAACUCCGUGCCAGCAGCCGCGGUAAUACGGAGGAUCCGAGCGUUAUCCGGAUUUAUUGGGUUUAAAGGGUGCGUAGGCGGCACUUUAAGUCAGGGGUGAAAGACGGCAGCUCAACUGUCGCAGUGCCCUUGAUACUGAAGUGCUUGAAUGCGGUUGAAGACGGCGGAAUGAGACAAGUAGCGGUGAAAUGCAUAGAUAUGUCUCAGAACACCGAUUGCGAAGGCAGCUGUCUAAGCCGUUAUUGACGCUGAUGCACGAAAGCGUGGGGAUCGAACA
rnacentral:rRNA from 1 species